rnacentral:rRNA from 1 species
CCCCUACGGGGCGCAGCAGUCGGGAAUAUUGCGCAAUGGAGGAAACUCUGACGCAGUGACGCCGCGUAUAGGACGAAGGUCUUCGGAUUGUAAACUAUUGUCGUUAGGGAAGAGAAAGGACAGUACCUAAGGAGGGAGCUCCGGCUAACUACGUGCCAGCAGCCGCGGUAAUACGUAGGGAGCAAGCGUUAUCCGGAUUUAUUGGGCGUAAAGCGUGCGCAGGCGGUUUGUUAAGUCUAAAAUAAAAGCCCGAAGCUUAACUUCGGUUCGUUUUAGAAACUGGCAGGCUUGAGUAUGGUAGAGGG